AGAGUUUGAUCCUGGCUCAGGAUGAACGCUGGCGGUCUGCUUAACACAUGCAAGUCGAACGCAAGUAGAAAUACUUGAGUGGCGGACGGGUGAGUAACGCGUGAGAAUCUGCCUUUUGGUCGGGGACAACCACUGGAAACGGUGGCUAAUACCGGAUAUGCCUAACGGUGAAAGAUUAAUUGCCAGAAGAGGAGCUCGCGUCUGAUUAGCUAGUUGGUGAGGUAAGAGCUCACCAAGGCAUCGAUCAGUAGCUGGUCUGAGAGGAUGAUCAGCCACACUGGGACUGAGACACGGCCCAGACUCCUACGGGAGGCAGCAGUGGGGAAUUUUCCGCAAUGGGCGAAAGCCUGACGGAGCAAGACCGCGUGAGGGAGGAAGGCUCUUGGGUUGUAAACCUCUUUUGUCAGGGAAGAACACAAUGACGGUACCUGAAGAAUCAGCAUCGGCUAACUCCGUGCCAGCAGCCGCGGUAAUACGGGGGAUGCAAGCGUUAUCCGGAAUUAUUGGGCGUAAAGCGUCCGCAGGUGGCUAAUCAAGUCUGCUGUCAAAGGUUGGGGCUUAACCCCAAAAAGGCAGUGGAAACUGAGAAGCUAGGGUGCAGUAGGGGUAGAGGGAAUUCCCGGUGUAGCGGUGAAAUGCGUAGAGAUCGGGAAGAACAUCGGUGGCGAAAGCGCUCUACUGGACUGCAACUGACACUCAGGGACGAAAGCUAGGGGAGCGAAUGGGAUUAGAUACCCUAGUAGUCC
rnacentral:rRNA from 1 species